rnacentral:rRNA from 1 species
CUUAACACAUGCAAGUCGAGCGGGCGUAGCAAUACGUCAAGCGGCAGACGGGUGAGUAACGCGUGGGAACGUACCUUUUGGUUCGGAACAACACAGGGAAACUUGUGCUAAUACCGGAUAAGCCCUUACGGGGAAAGAUUUAUCGCCGAAAGAUCGGCCCGCGUCUGAUUAGCUAGUUGGUGAGGUAACGGCUCACCAAGGCGACGAUCAGUAGCUGGUCUGAGAGGAUGAUCAGCCACAUUGGGACUGAGACACGGCCCAAACUCCUACGGGAGGCAGCAGUGGGGAAUAUUGGACAAUGGGCGCAAGCCUGAUCCAGCCAUGCCGCGUGAGUGAUGAAGGCCCUAGGGUUGUAAAGCUCUUUUGUGCGGGAAGAUAAUGACGGUACCGCAAGAAUAAG